AGUGAACGCUGGCGGUAGGCCUAACACAUGCAAGUCGAACGGCAGCACAGAGGAGCUUGCUCCUUGGGUGGCGAGUGGCGGACGGGUGAGGAAUACAUCGGAAUCUACUCUGUCGUGGGGGAUAACGUAGGGAAACUUACGCUAAUACCGCAUACGACCUACGGGUGAAGGCAGGGGAUCUUCGGACCUUGCGCGAUUGAAUGAGCCGAUGUCGGAUUAGCUAGUUGGCGGGGUAAAGGCCCACCAAGGCGACGAUCCGUAGCUGGUCUGAGAGGAUGAGCAGCCACACGGGAACUGAGACACAGUCCAGACUCCUACGGGAGGCAGCAGUGGGGAAUAUUGGACAAUGGGCGCAAGCCUGAUCCAGCCAUACCGCGUGGGUGAAGAAGGCCUUCGGGUUGUAAAGCCCUUUUGUUGGGAAAGAAAUCCAUCUGGUUAAUACCCGGGUGGGAUGACGGUACCCAAAGAAUAAGCACCGGCUAACUUCGUGCCAGCCGCCGCAGUAA
rnacentral:rRNA from 1 species